rnacentral:tRNA from 1 species
GCAUUGGUGAUUCAGUGGUAGAAUUCUUACCUUCGGUGCGGAAGACCUGGGUUUGAUUACCAGCCAGUGUG